rnacentral:lncRNA from 10 species
GUAAGCCUUCUCCAUAUGAAGGGGUAAAUCCCCUAAACCAAACCUUGAAACCAAGCGUCCAGCUGAGGUUCAAAUUUCCAGCUGAGGUCAACAGGAGGAAACUAACCUUUCUCCACAGGAAAUCUCCUAGCCAGGAGGAGAAAGAUCUCUCUUCAAACAAGAGGGGGAAAGACCCCUCCUCAGUCAAAUCCAAAACAAAACAGAGCUCAAUCAAAAUCAAGACUUUGUUCCAAAACAGACUCAUGAAGGGAGGCAGAUCAUGAAUGUGGGGUGGGGAGCUUACUGGGCCCCAGUGUGAGUACCUCAUACCUUAGAUCCAAGGGCUGGUGAUUCUCCCCAAGGUGAGUCACCUUUGGAAUCCUGCUUCUGGCACCAAGUGUGUUGAAGUAAAAAAUGUAGAGGCAAAUCUCUAAAUGUAAUCUUUUAUUUGGGAAACAAGAAUUACAAUUUGGGGUGUACUCACAGACUAGGUAGACUUUGGUAUUUUCAAAGAGCAGACAAAAGUUGGAGGUUUUAGAAAAAGGUGAAAUGUUAUGUAUUGUUUUCCAGAAAGUUUAUUAGCACCAGCAAAGUUUCAAAGAGCUGGCAAGCUUUGAUGGGUGAGUGACGGCCAUGUGUAAAACAA